CCCUUAGAUGUCCGGGGCUGCACGCGCGCUACACUAAAGGAAUCAGCGUGCUAAAACCAUUGUCGAAAGGCAUUGGUAAACCCAUUAAAAUCCUACGUGAUUGGGAUCGGGAAUUGCAAUUAUUUCCCUUGAACGAGGAAUUCCCAGUAAGUGUGGGUCAUAAGCUCGCGUUGAUUACGUCCCUGCCCUUUGUACACACCGCCCGUCGCUGCCCGGGACUGAGCCGUUUCGAGAAAAGCGGGGACUGCUGCUGUCGGGGCUUUCGGGCCUUGGCUUCGGUGGAAACCGCUUUAAUCGCAGUGGCUUGAACCGGGCAAAAGUCGUAACA
rnacentral:rRNA from 1 species